GGUCCCGUCGUCUAGUGGCUAGGACUCAGGAUUUUCAUUCCUGCAACACGGGUUCGAUUCCCGUCGGGACUACCA
rnacentral:tRNA from 1 species